UACGUAGGGUGCAAGCGUUAAUCGGAAUUACUGGGCGUAAAGCGUGCGCAGGCGGUUUUGUAAGUCUGUCGUGAAAGCCCCGGGCUCAACCUGGGAAUUGCGAUGGAGACUGCAAGGCUUGAAUCUGGCAGAGGGGGGUAGAAUUCCACGUGUAGCAGUGAAAUGCGUAGAGAUGUGGAGGAACACCGAUGGCGAAGGCAGCCCCCUGGGUCAAGAUUGACGCUCAUGCACGAAAGCGCUGGGGAGCAAACAGG
rnacentral:rRNA from 1 species